GGGGUCGGCUGCAUGUCGCCUUCACUCAGUCGCGCCUGUCACGCCGGAGGUCGCGGGUUCGAGUCCCGUCGACCCCGCCA
rnacentral:tRNA from 1 species